CGGGUGAGUAACGCGUGGGUGACCUGCCUCAAAGUGGGGAACAACAGACCGAAAGGUUUGCUAAUACCGCAUACGCUCGACGAUUCAAUUUGUCGAGUAAAAGCGCAAGUUGCUUUGAGAGGGGCCCGCGUCCCAUCAGGUAGUUGGUGAGGUAAAAGCCCACCAAGCCGAUGACGGGUAGCUGUUCUGAGAGGAAGAUCAGCCACAAUGGAACUGAGAUACGGUCCAU
rnacentral:rRNA from 1 species